CAAUGAAGGGAAGUCCUUCCUCUCCUAAUUU
rnacentral:tRNA from 1 species